rnacentral:misc_RNA from 1 species
GAAAGUGCCCUGUAUGUUGAUUUAGGCAGAUUUACAAUUACAACUAUUCUUUAACAAAAAAAUUGGGUAGUUAAAUUUUCUUGAUAACCUUAAAAAAAAAAAAAAAAAUCAGACUGGCCUUUGCAUGGUUCUGAAUCCUAAAGACAACAUCCCUGGUGUUGGUGCAUCCCAUGAAAAUGAAAAUGUGCCUCUACUGUUGUAACCAGACAAACAAAAAAUGAUCACUUGCAGUCUAUACCACAACUCAAUCGUGAAGGAGCCAUUAUAGAAUUUUUGCCAUCAUCAGAAAUAAUAGUUUCAAAUUUGAUAGAAUGAUAAAAAGAUUGCUGGCUAAGGCUUUUGCAUAGANNNNNNNNNNNNUUUUUCUCACUUUUAUAAGACCAGUUUUCCUUUCAUGAGCGUGGAACUUGUACUGCCAAUCUCCAGAAAACUCGCCACAUCUUGGGUUAAAGGUCAUUCAAUUUAAUGGAGAAGCCUCUACAAAAGCNNNNNNNCCACCUGUCACAUCAUCAACCACCUCAACAGGUCCAAGAAUAGCCAUCACUGUUCUUGAAUUUGGUGCAAUCUGUGUUCUCCCAGCAUCAAUGGUUACAUGAGUUGGCAAUUUAAGUGAUUUUGCCCUCUCUUGCAAAAUAAGCAUAUCCUCCUCGCUUUCAAUUUUCACAACCACCUUUGGCUGUGCACACAUCUCCCACCUGUUUAACGCUUUAGGUGCCCGAUGAAGGAGCUUCUUAUAUAGGCCCAAAGUUGCAUGGCUGCAUUGGGCGGCGAUUUUUCCUUUCCCCAUCUUAAGAUCAUUUCUGACAACCAAAACCAUUUUGAAAUCAUCAAGAAUAUCAGCGAGCUUCUCAACGUCAAAGGGUUCUUUGGACUUAUUUUUCUUGCUUCCACUACCAAAGAGAGUGCCAUCUUUAGCUAAUUUGGCUCGAAGAAAGAUGAAAGCAGGACGGCGAGAACCAAUACAGUAACCCAAAGCAAGGCAGCCUGCCCCAACUAAUAUGGCGCUAAGCCACCUCAAAUCCAUCAAUUCAAUUCAAACCCAGAUAAGAUUCAGUGAUUUCAGAUGUGACAGCGAAAGGAGAAAUAACUACUUAAAAAUAGAAUUAGUAGCAGAUGAUCGAGAUGGGUUCUCCUUCAACUUGAAGAGAGGAAACCUNNNNGGAAACCUAGCAGAAAUUAUUGGCGGAAAAAGCAGACCUUUCGUCUCAUUCAUUCCCUUUCUCUUCCUAAGAACCCUUGCUGCGGAGUGGAGCUACAACUCAAUUCCAA